CGCACCGCACGGCCGCCGCGCGCCCGUCCCCUAGGCGGCGCGCGGCCGUAGGCGCGCUAGGAUCCGUCGCUUCCGAGACUGGCGGGAGACCUGGCCCUACGUGGCGCGGGAGUGGCGCCAGAAUUCAAACUAACAGCCCCAGUUGGAGGCGAGGCUACUGCCUGCCGGGAGCCAAGUCCGCCCAGGACAGAUUGGGGCCGGGAGUGGACUAGAGUUUUGCAGCGCUGGCGGCCUCAGCCAGGAGCCAGGUGCCUACCCCUGGUCUCCCAUGCGGGUGCAGGUCCCAAGCACCUGGGCCAUCCUCCACUGCCUUCCCAGGCCACAGCAGAGAGCUGGACUGGAAGAGGAGCAACCGGGAGAGAAUCCGGCGCCCCAACCAGGACUAGAACCCGGGGUGCCGGCGCCACAGGUGGAGGAUUAGUCUAGUGAGCCACGGCGCCGGCCUUGAGGCCACAACCCAGGACCAAUUUUUGUUUAUAUCGAAUGAUGUACAAUAUACCUACACUGUAGUUCUACAAAGACACAUCAGUUUUCCCAAAAAUCCUCCAGAUCUGCAGCAAGCCCAGUUACACCUAGGCAUACUUGUCAUCUACUGCACUGAUGACAUCCUCAUUACCAGCCUAAGAAACAAAUCGACCAGGUCCCUACAUAAGGUAACAGACACUAUGACACACUUAGGCUGGGUCCUCUACCUGAUAAAGUUCAGGAACCUGUUCAACAAGUACAGUUUCCCGGAAGCUCCUGAGCCAGUAAUCAGAUAAGUGAUCUUGAUAAAGUCAAGCAAAAAUUACUGUCCUUCACAGUAUGUACAAGAAAGAAACUCAAUAGCUAGGGAGUCUGUUUGGAUGUUGAAGAUAGUAUCUACCACAUCUAUGUAUUCUUGUGGCCUCUUUAAUUAAGAUGGCCUGAAAAAUAGUCACCUAUAAAUGGAUCCCUCAAUAACGGCAAUCUUUCAAGAUCAUACAACAAGCAAUGGCAUAGGCCCAAGUAGAACUAGUAACUCUCAGUAACUCUUACCUGUUCAGAUUGGAUCCUCUAACAAGAGACUGUUACCUGGAUGUGUGGACCCCUUGGGUUAUUAAAACUUAUUUACUUAUUUAUGUGGAAAGGAGAGAGGUUGGGAGGAGAGAGAGAGAAAGAGAGAGAGAGAGAAUACUCCCAUCUGCUGGUCACUUCUCAAAUGCCCUCAAGGCCUUAGCUGGGUUGAACUGAAGCUGAACCCAGAACUCGGUUGGAGUCUCAUAUGUCAGUGGCAGGGAUCCAAGUACUUGGGACAUUACCAUUGCCUCCCAGAGUCUGCAUUAGCAGGAAACUGGAGUGAGGAGCUGGAGCCAGUUAUUGAAUUAUGUUCUUCAACAUAGAAUGUGACAUCAUAACUGAUGUCUUAACUAUUGGGUUAAAUGCCCAACCCCAGCUUGGAUUUUAAACACGUAAGUUGCCCUAUGUAACUGUAGGUAUACACACUUCAAAUGACAAUUCUUAACCUGCCUUCCGGGCCUGACAAAAACAUAGUACCUGACUACUAAAGAACUGUUUGUAAUAUGAAACUCAAGCUUCCCCUCCUCAUUCGGGAACUCAAUAAUCUUACUAACAAAAUAAAGCAAGCUCCAUAAUUACAUACUACUGGUACAUCAAAAACCUAGCCUUAUUUGGGCCCAAAGGGCUUUACCAACUUCAUAAACAAGUAACCACCUUGCUGCUAGGGACUAAUGGCUCAUAGGGGACAAUUCCUUCUGUCCUUUAACUAAAUAGGACUCUGGUUCAGAGAUGUUCCAAGUGAUGAUAUGACUUGAUUCCAGGCAGAUCUCCAGUAUUUUAGCAAAUAGAGUCCAAUGGGCUCCUGUGGUCAUCUGUUCCAAGGAUAGAGAACUCCUAAAGCCAAGAAAAAAUACCAUAUAAUAAUGAUUUCUAUAUAGGCCACUCCGAUAGAACUCCCUGCUACAUAUUUGCAGACCCAUGGACCUUACAAAUGCACUAAUCGUAUGGUUCAUUGACUAACAGAUUAAUAAAUGGGCCACAAAAUAAUAUGCUAUACGGAAAUAAGAACUGUGGUAACAGCUUCCAAACUGGAAAGGAAACCUAUUUGUCACUCAUGUUGAUGCCCAGGACAAAGGUUCACUCAAAAGGAAACAUACUUGUAACUCAGAAGCUGAGCUGGCAAGCCCUCAGCAGAUCACUACAAUUGCUUUUUAGGUCUAUAAAAGUACAGGGCAUAGAAAUAUACCUCAGGUACAAAAAUGGAUCAAAUUACAAGGACUCACUCCUCUUCCCCCAAAUACAGAAACUAAAGCUGCAACAGUCAUAUGACUCCUAUCAAUGAACCCAGACAAUGCAACAUGGUAAACUGGAUCACAUUAACCAGACCAUAGGCUCCACUUGAAUGUGGCAAACUUACCACAUCAUAGAUUUCAGUGGUGCCUCAUUUAUGAGGAUACAUAUUCCAGAUAUAGAAUGGCCAUUCCAGUGCAUCAUGUAGAUUUGGAAAUCUUUUCUGUGGCUUUUACAAAGCACCUUUGCCAUAUGUUAAGGCAUCCAGCAGGAUUUCAAUCCAAUCAAGACACUGUAUUGCCUGCACAAGCUACAUAGCAAUAGGCAUGCUCCAUGGCAAAAGAUGGACCUUUUAUGCUCCCUAUCACCCCAAGCAAAUGUGAUAAUAAAAUGAUAAUAAAUAAUAAAAUAAUAAAAUGGUAAUUCAAAUAAUAGCUUCAAAAAGUCUAUCAGGAAGAAUAAUUUGCCAAAUGGUACCCCUACUUUAAAAAAGCCAAUUGUAAUUGAAUACACCCCAGAGUACAGAAAACAUGGCACUGCAAUGCAUAUUGUACAGUACAGAGCUUAAUGGCAGGUGGGGGACAAGGCAUCUGCCUGAAUUGGGCUUCACCUGUGAAAUUCCAGUCUCAGUAUACUCAAUCAUUCUUUUCAUUUUUUUCCCACAGGUGUACACUCUCUGGGGGGUGGCUUGUGGUCCAAGCUGUAGAGGGACUGCCAGUAGGAUCUUUGACUUAAACCUGAAAGGAAUUCUACUUUCAGAUGCCUGCAGGGCCAGCAGUGGGCCAAGCAGAAGCCACAAACUGGGAACUCAAUCCAGGUCUCCCACAAGAAUGGCAGGAACCCAACUACUUGAGCCAUCACUGCUACCUCCCAGGAUCUGCAUUAAGAGGAAGCUGGAGUCAGGAGCUGAAGCUGAGCCUUGGAUCCAGAAAUCUCCUAAUUGCCUGGCAUGAUAGCAUGGAUAAGAAUCAGCACAGCUGUGAUGAGUGUAGGUAAGUUCAAAUAAUACUGAAUUUACCACCCCAUACUGAAAUUCUAUUUGUUACACACUCCUAUUGUAGUGGUAUGGCUGGUGCACGGUGACUAGGACCUUCUCUAAGUCGUCCAAUACCAGCAAGACUCUAUUAAUUCACGAGCCAAGGUGGUUAUGGACAACAGAAUAGACUUUGAUUAUCUGUUGGCAGAACAGGGUAGCAUUUGUCUUAUGGCUAAUACUUCUUACUGCUUAUAAAUCAGUAAUUUGGGGAAGGUAAAAACUGAGUUGGAGAUGACCCAAAGUCAGGCAAAUGGUUUUCAGGUUUACAUUUCACAAUUCCCCAGACUUAUUUUAUAUUAGUCUCCUUAGUUGGCUUAAUCUAGGCACUUGGGAUUCCUGAUUCUCCAAAUAACCUGGAUGGAAUAUUAUCUCAAAAUGACAGGAGUGUCUUCAAGCAAAGCAUAUCCGUAUGGGUUGUUUAGAGGUCCAAUGAGACUCACGUUCAUUUUAAAAUUUGGGAAGUAGUAGUCCUAUCAAAUUUGAUAAACUUUAUUUGCUCUUAGGCAUCUGAGUAAGACUAGGGGCUGAACUGUUGGGAAAGGCAAUUAUGUGCAGCUUUUUUGACCCUUACAUGGCUACAUGAGAGUGCAGUUUAGGCCUGAAACAUUUUGUAGUGAAAGGACUCUAAAAACCUAUACUGGGAAAAUUGCCUAGUUUGGGGAUAUCUUUUGAUAUUCAAGAUUUGAUUUACUGGGUGAGUAAAAUAUUGUUAUAUCCAGUGCUGUGGGUACCGUGUCUUAGUGAUCCCAAUGCUGCAAAUUGUACAGUGGGUUGACAUGCUGAGGCUGCUGCUCCUGAUGGUAGGCAACAGAUAUUACUGAUUCCAGGAAGAAUAGGUACAGAUAAUUGAGGUUCUGACUCGUUUGCAUUGUCUUAAAUAAUUAUGAGGCAAGGCCAUGAAUUGAGAAUUGAAUGUUGAGAGAUGUAAGAGGUCAGAAGCACAUGUAAAAUUGUCAUCAUGGAGGAUGAAAAAGCAGACACACAAAGGAAAUAGAGUAGGACUGACUGGUAGUGUGGAGUGUCCAUGAAAUUUAGGACUAAAUUUUAUGUGAGUAUAGUUGCAAGCUUUCUUCUUCUAGACAUAUGAAAGUACUUCAAAGAGGUUGUGAAGAAAUGGAAUGAAAAGAUAAGUUCAUUUUGGUGCAAGAAAAUUUUGAAAUCCAUACAUAGUUUUUCAUAAUAUUCAUUUCCAUGGACUUUUUGAAGGCCCUACAUAUGCAUGAAUUUCGAGAAGUUUUGCUCCAAAAUGAAGUUAUAAUGAACUAUUCCUUACUAGAAAUCAGAUUGUGUUCUUUAUCUAUGGCUGCAUAAUAAACUACCCCAAACUUAGUGCCUUAGAACAAAACUAUUAGUAUUUCUCAUGGUUUUGUGGGUUGACAGGCUCGUUUUUCUGAUUGGGUUUACUCAUAAUGCUGCAUUCUGUUAUCAGAUCUACAGAGUGGAUUCCAGUUGAGCCAACUGGGUCAGCUGGGCCUCUCUUUCAGCAUGAUAUUUCAUUUCUGGCUUCUUCAUGGCAGGAAAUAUCAGGGCAGUAUUCCAAUAGGUCAAAUCCUAAAGUCCAGACGUCUAUUAAGUCUUUGCUUCUAUUAUACGUGCUAAUGUUUCUUUGUCAAUAACAAGUCAUAUGGCCAAUCCCUGAGUCAAGAUGGGAGAAAGAUACAAAAGUGUGAAGACACAUAAUUGCCAAGUGUGAAUCAUCAAGGCCAGUGCUUUAAUGAUCUCUGACAAUCUGCUUUUAUUAAUUCUUACACAGCUUGGACCAAAGGGAUACAUCAAUCCCCUUCUACUUCAUUAAAAAAAACCUACUGUGGUAGUUAUUUUAUAUUUCCCACUCUAGAUCAAUUUUUCAAUCUUUUCCACUCUACUUUGUGCUUCAGGAAGCAGCCUCUUCACUUUUUUCCUGCUUCCCUUGCUUCUUUAGGCUCAGAGGUGGUAUAUCCAUGAAAGUAUGAUUUAGGCAAGAAGGGGUCAAAGGAGUAGGGGCAGAAAAUCUGAAAGUUUACUUGCUUGAGCUUGAUUUUUAGAGAAUGUUACAGGAAAGCUUGUCCUGAAAUAUUGUACUCAGGGUGCACCAGAUCACCACAAACAAGGAAAUCUGCAGGACAGCAGUUUUAAUCAGAUUUUUGGAAAUGUGGUGUAGUAAGAUGCAUUUUGCUUGGGUAGGAGGGACUUCCUCUUCUACAUUCUAGAUGUGUAUUAUAAGCAAGAAGGGUCCUCCUGCUAUCCUUUUAGUACAUCAUGGGCACUUCUCUUGCCCAUGCUAUAAAACCCUUGCUAUAAAAUCCCUGGAAAAUCCCUUGUUUGGGAGGCAGUUUCUUUAGGGAAUUGUACCUUCCCACUAUCUCCUUUAUUUAUUUCAAGUAAAUAAAGCUGUCCUUUAAGUAACUUCCACUAGAGGUUGAUUCUUUGGUGAUAUCCCAAGUGAAUGGACCCCUUGUAUCUGCUAACAAAAAUAAAGCUCAACUUAGGCCCAGGAUGAUAUUCUAUCUGGUUUUCUUAUACCUUGCCCACCUUGUAAACACUCUUACUUUAUUCAUUUCACAAAUUUUCCAUUUGUUUCAUGUUGGGACCCUGACAUAUUUAGCUGUAAAUUCCUGGUUUAAUGAAGCAGAUUUAGGUGCAUUUGAAAGCAUACACACAUGCACACACACAUACAUAUAUAAUAAAGAAUAUCCUUGUCAGCUUUGGAAAUUGAAUUAGUCUUUCGGUUUCUAUGUACCAGACUGACCUGAUGGUGAGUACUUUUUUAAAAUCCCAUUCUCCAACAUUAUUCAACAUUGUCUAAAUUAAAACUGUUUUUCAGUAUGUCCUUGGGUAGCACUUUGCAUUUUCCUUUCUAUUUUAGAGUCUGAAAAAUAAAUUACAGGCAGUAUUAAUCAAAAUAUUCAGAUAAUUCUUAUGCACUGUUUAUAAAGGCUGUAAACAAAUAAUUGCUUAGAAACUGGCUGAAAAUGUUUAUGGUAACUGAAUUUCAUACCUUGUUGGUAGAUUUUAUACAUUGUUGUUGGUUAUAAUUUUUUUUUUGUUAAGAUUUUAUUCAUUUACUUGAGAGGUAGAGUUACAGACAGUGAGAGGGAGAGGCAGAGAAAAGUCUUCCUUUUUUUAGUUCACUCCCCAAAUGGCCGCAGUGGCUGCAGCUGCACCAAUCUGAAGCCAGGAGUUUCUUCCAAGUCUCCCACGAAGGUGCAGGGGCCCAAGCACUUGGGCCAUCUUCUCCUACUUUCCCAGGCCAUAGCAGAGAGCUGGAUUGGAAGAGGAGGAGCUGGGACUUGAACCGGUCCCCAUAUGGGAUACCAGCACUGCAGUCAGAGGAUUAACCUACUGCACCAUGGUGUUGGCCUCAUUGGUUAUAAUUUGUUACAAAUACAUUGGCUGUUUCACCCUUUAGCUUUACAAAAUAGCAUCAUGUGUUAUGUAUUUUAAACUGGUUUUAAAGAAGUUUAUAAUUAUUUAAAUGACAAAUAGAUGCCAAACUACAGUUUAUUCAAUAAUAUUUCAAGUGGUUUAAUCCACUUGAAAUAUCAUUAAUUUUUCAAUACACUAAAAACUUUUGACAGUUAUUUUUAUCAUGCAAUCGAUGUGAUGACUCUAUUAUGACUAUUUCAUAAUUUCAUAAUUAAAAAUAUUAUUAUUAAGGAUCAAAUGCCAUGAAUGGCUGAGUGAUUUCUUUUAGUGAAAUGAAGGUGGAGUUGGGAAUGUGUUUGACCAAAUGAUGUUUGGCUUCCUGGAUAUAUACUUCAACUUGACUUUUGUCACACUGGUUCCUAUUUUCCUGUGAUGUUCUGGAUGGCUUAUAACAGAUGUAUAAAAAAAUUGAAUGCUAUCAAGGCCAUAGAUUCAGAAGAUUUUAGCUCCAGAUAGUUAUUUAAUGGCAUGUCAUAGGUAGAAUUUUCUCAGCUCAUAUUAUAUGAGUAAUUAGACUUUGUCAACUGUGUUAAAUGGUUGCAUAAUAAAGGUUUUGAACUACAAGAAAACACAGAAUUUCUUCCUUUAAGAUAUUGAGACACAAAAAAUAGAAAAUGAAAGAUGUCAUAUUUUUCCCCAGAAACCUUUUAUUUAAGGAAUACAAACUUCAUGCAUUGCAUAAAUACAACUUUAGGAACGCAGUGAUUCUUCCCACACUGAUUCUUCCCCAAGUGUGCCUGCCCCCCACCCCUCUUCCUUCUCCCUCUCUUAUUCUUAUUUUUUACUAACAUCUAUUUUCAAUUAACUUCACACACAUAUGAUUAGCUCUACACUAAGUAAAGAGUUCAACAAAUAGUAUGAAAAAAAACAAACUGUUCCUCAACAGUCAAGAGAAAGGCUGUUCAAAGUCAUUGCAUCUCAACUCAUAGAAUGGCAAACGCCCAAAACAGCACUCCUGCCUCAGAAUCAACCCUUGGGACAUUUGGAUCUGACUAAAAGGUCCAUGAGAGUCUCACAGGCAUGGAAAGCCAUGACACGGUGGCAAAAGACAAUCUAAAUGAAAGAUCCUGGUGAACAAGACCCCAGCAGAAGGAACAGGCCAUCAAGGAGGGAGGCGCCUUUCUCUGAAAGGAGGAAGGAACCCCCACUGUGAUAUGGCCUUGACUAAACAAGUUCACAGUUGGUGAACUCAAGAGGCUUCAAUAGCCUAGACAGCUCAUAGCAAGAGUCUCGGGUGAUUGCUGACAUCAUAAAUAAGAGUGCCAAUUGUUAAAUCAACAACGGGAGUCACUGGGUACAUGCUCCCCACGUAGGAUCUCUGUCCUUAAUGUGUUCUACUAUGAAACUUAAAAACAACACUACUAGUCGAACAAUACCCUAUACCUGGUUCGGUUGUGUGAGUACAGCCUGUUGAAAUCCCUGCUUAGUAUAUACUAAGUUGAUCCUCAGUAUAUGAAGGUAAUUGAAAAUGAAAUGUG